rnacentral:rRNA from 1 species
UACGUAGGGGGCAAGCGUUGUCCGGAAUCAUUGGGCGUAAAGGGCGCGUAGGCGGCUUUAUAAGUCGGGGGUGAAAGCCUGUGGCUCAACCACAGAAUUGCCUUCGAUACUGUAGAGCUUGAGACCGGAAGAGGUAAGUGGAACUGCGAGUGUAGAGGUGAAAUUCGUAGAUAUUCGCAAGAACACCAGUGGCGAAGGCGGCUUACUGGUCCGGUUCUGACGCUGAGGCGCGAAAGCGUGGGGAGCAAACAGG